AACGAACGCUGGCGGCAGGCUUAACACAUGCAAGUCGAACGCCCCGCAAGGGGAGUGGCAGACGGGUGAGUAACGCGUGGGAACGUACCUUUCAGUUCGGAAUAACUCAGGGAAACUUGUGCUAAUACCGGAUACGCCCGCAAGGGGAAAGAUUUAUCGCUGAAAGAUCGGCCCGCGUUGGAUUAGCUAGUUGGUGGGGUAAAGGCCUACCAAGGCGACGAUCCAUAGCUGGUCCGAGAGGAUGAUCAGCCACACUGGGACUGAGACACGGCCCAGACUCCUACGGGAGGCAGCAGUGGGGAAUAUUGGACAAUGGGCGCAAGCCUGAUCCAGCCAUGCCGCGUGUGUGAUGAAGGCCUUAGGGUUGUAAAGCACUUUCACCGAUGAAGAUAAUGACGGUAGUCGGAGAAGAA
rnacentral:rRNA from 1 species